CCCUUAGAUGUUCUGGGCUGCACGCGCGCUACACUGGUGCGUUCAGCGAGUUUAGCACCUUAACAGAUAUGUUUGGGUAAUCUUCUGAAAACGCACCGUGAUGGGGAUCGAUUAUUGUAAUUAUUAAUCGUCAACGAGGAAUUCCUAGUAAGUGUGAAUCAUCAGUUCGCGCUGAUUACGUCCCUGCCCUUUGUACACACCGCCCGUCGCUACUACCGAUUGAACGGUUUAGUGAGGGCCUCGGAUUGGUCUCGGCCCGCUCUUUACCGGGCGGCGCCGUUGGUCGAGAAGACGCUCGAACUUGAUCGUUUAGAGGAAGUAAAAGUCGUAACA
rnacentral:rRNA from 1 species